GCUGCGCGAGGUUGUGGACAAGCAACUGCUCCUGGUUGCCGCCGAGGGCGGUUUCGCUGCGGCGAAGGCGCUGGUGUUCCACUGCCUAGAGCAGCCC
rnacentral:tRNA from 1 species